rnacentral:rRNA from 1 species
UACGUAGGGUGCGAGCGUUAAUCGGAAUGACUGGGCGUAAAGGGUGCGUAGGCGGUUUGCUAAGACGGAUGUGAAAUCCCUGGGCUCAACCUAGGAACAGCAUACGUGACUGGCAGGCUAGAGUAUCGAAGAGGGGGGUAGAAUUCCACGUGUAGCAGUGAAAUGCGUAGAGAUGUGGAGGAAUACCGAUGGCGAAGGCAGCUCCCUGGUCAGAUACUGACGCUGAGGCACGAAAGCGUGGGGAGCAAACAGG